rnacentral:rRNA from 1 species
CCUACGGGAGGCAGCAGUGGGGAAUAUUGGACAAUGGGGGGAACCCUGAUCCAGCGACGCCGCGUGAGUGAAGAAGUAUUUCGGUAUGUAAAGCUCUAUCAGCAGAGAAGAAAGAAAUGACGGUACCUGACGAAGAAGCCCCGGCUAACUACGUGCCAGCAGCCGCGGUAAUACGUAGGGGGCAAGCGUUAUCCGGAUUUACUGGGGGUAAAGGGAGCGUAGCCGGUGAUGCAAGUCUGAAGUGAAAGGCGGGGGCCCAACCCCCGGACUGCUUUGGAAACUGUAUGGCUGGAGUGCAGGAGAGGUUAGUGGAAUUCCUAGUGUAGCGGUGGAAUGCGUAGAUAUUAGGAGGAACACCAGUGGCGAAGGCGGCUUACUGGACUGUAACUGACGCUGAGGCUCGAAAGCGUGGGGAGCAAACAGGAUUAGAUACCCUAGUAGUC